GAGUUUGAUCAUGGCUCAGAAUGAACGCUGGCGGCGUGCUUAACACAUGCAAGUCGAGCGAGGCCAGGGGGGCAACUCCCUGAGUCGAGCGGCGGACGGGUGAGUAACACGUGGGUAACCUACCCGGAAGUGGGGAAUACCUCGGGGAAACUCGAGCUAAUACCGCAUAACAUCUUUGGGACGAAAGUUCCGACGAUCAAAGCGGGGUCGCAAGAUCUCGCGCUACCGGAUGGGCCCGCGCCCGAUUAGCUAGUUGGUGAGGUAACGGCUCACCAAGGCGACGAUCGGUAACCGGCCUGAGAGGGCGAUCGGUCACACCGGAACUGAGACACGGUCCGGACUCCUACGGGAGGCAGCAGUGGGGAAUCUUGCGCAAUGGGCGAGAGCCUGACGCAGCAACGCCGCGUGGAGGAUGAAGGCCCUUGGGUUGUAAACUCCUGUCGGCUGGGAAGAAGUUGUUCGCGACUAAUACUCGCGGACAUUGACUGUACCAGCAAAGGAAGCCCCGGCUAACUCUGUGCCAGCAGCCGCGGUAAUACAGAGGGGGCCAGCGUUAUUCGGAAUUAUUGGGCGUAAAGGGCGCGUAGGCGGCCAUGCGUGUCUCCCGUGAAAUCCCUCGGCUCAACCGAGGACGUGCGGAAGAAACUGCAAGGCUCGAGUCCGGAAGAGGGGGGCGGAAUUCCCAGUGUAGCGGUGAAAUGCGUAGAUAUUGGGAG
rnacentral:rRNA from 1 species